GUGCCAGCCGCCGCGGUAAUACAGAGGUCUCAAGCGUUGUUCGGAUUCAUUGGGCGUAAAGGGUGCGUAGGCGGCGUGGUAAGUCAGAUGUGAAAUCCUGGGGCUCAACCCCGGAACUGCAUUUGAUACUGCCAUGCUAGAGUACUGGAGAGGAGACUGGAAUUUACGGUGUAGCAGUGAAAUGCGUAGAUAUCGUAAGGAAGACCGGUGGCGAAGGCGAGUCUCUGGACAGUAACUGACGCUGAGGCACGAAGGCCAGGGGAGCAAACGGGAUUAGAUACCCCGGUAGUCC
rnacentral:rRNA from 1 species